UUGUAGGAUAAAGGUUCAAAGGAGCAGAGAAGUGAUUUAGCAUCUCUUACAAAUGUAUCUAUUUAUCAGACUGUGGUGAGGUUUGUGACAAUAACCCUACAGUUAACAAGUACAGAAAGGCACUGGAAUGUAAACUUUAUUACUGGGAUCCGAGGAGAGAUGAGAUUUGUUGAACACUUUGCAACUAAAUAACACUGAUGUUUGUGACUUGGGAAAUGUAAGACUUGCUAGUGUCGUCUUGCUACUUUAGCGAGGGGUGUUCAGUGUGGAGGCGGAGCCUUGGACAAAGGGCGACGCGUUGCCUGGCGGGUCACAGCUGGGAAGCCUUAGCCUAAUGAAGAGCAGCUGUUCAGGCCGUAUAUAACCACACUGGACACCCUACCCUAUCCUCCCCGACGGGUUGAGUAGGGUCCCAUUCUAGAACAGGAGCUACGCUACGCUACGCUACACGGGCAGUUCUGGAGGGUUGUCGUACUGCAAUGUGAGGCAAUACACUCGGGGAGCCUUUAUCCUGGCAGCAACAGCGAUAUCGAUUGACCUGUUUGAUGAAAUGGAUGGAUGAGAAGAUGGGGAAAGCCAGGUCCCUCGUGGCCUUGGAGGAGAAAAUGGUCAUCCAAAAGGAUGGGAAGUACCGUCUGUCUAUUUUUUCUUCUCCAAUUCUCAACAUCAGCAGUAACAAGCUUGCAGGUGCGUUUGCUAUUUCAUCACUCCCAGUGUGUUCUCUGACUGACCAGCACUUCUGUUCUGCAUGUGUUUGUUGCUGAAAGGUGUUGGGAAGCUGUCAAUCUGCAGCUACUGUACUUCCUUCAUUACAUUUUAUUCCAUCGGCUCCGUUUGGCUCCCUGGGGCUGCCAGCACUUUCCCACUUGCUUAUUUAUUUUAACUUGUACGUACAUACACUCUGGGAAGAGACUGUCAAUAGCCUGGCUGCAGAGCCAGGUUAUUGACAAAGCACUCUUUCCUCAUUAAGAUUCAUGGUUUCUGAGCUUUUCUUUUUCAUUAAAAUGUGUAUUAUGUUGACAGUCAGCUUCCUUAUACAUGGUAUGGUAAAAGAAGAGCGGUAUGUAGGUGGCAUUUAACCUGUAAUUGUCAAGUGCUAUGUACAAGCUAGACACUUCCAGCCUGGUAAAUCAAAAUCAUAAAUCUACUACAUGAAGAAUAAAUGAGGUAAACCUGUCAAUGUUCCCCCUUGGAGAUUUAAUCCAUGAAUUUUUACAUGAGUGAACAACAGAAAUGCUUGAAAGUUCUUUUUUUCUUUCUCAGGUAGAGAGAUGAUCUGUCAAUUCAGCUGUCUUGGAAUUCACUCAUGUGUUACAAGGAACUUAUUACACUGUAUAUGUUGGAGGUUUCAAGGUUUAGAAUCAACUAAUAAAGCAAAUGUUUCUUUA